GCUCGCCGGAAGACCAAGGGUUCCUGUCCAACGUUAAUCGGGGCAGGGUGAGUCGACCCCUAAGGCGAGGCCGAAAGGCGUAGUCGAUGGGAAACGGGUUAAUAUUCCCGUACUUGGUGUUACUGCGAAGGGGGGACGGAGAAGGCUAUGUUGGCCGGGCGACGGUUGUCCCGGUUUAAGCGUGUAGGUGUGUGUUCCAGGUAAAUCCGGUUCACUUUAACACUGAGGCGUGACGACGAGGCACUACGGUGCUGAAGCAACAAAUGCCCUGCUUCCAGGAAAAGCCUCUAAGCAUCAGGUAACAUCAAAUCGUACCCCAAACCGACACAGGUGGUCAGGUAGAGAAUACCAAGGCGCUUGAGAGAACUCGGGUGAAGGAACUAGGCAAAAUGGUGCCGUAACUUCGGGAGAAGGCACGCUGACACGUAGGUGAAGUGAUUUACUCAUGGAGCUGAAGUCAGUCGAAGAUACCAGCUGGCUGCAACUGUUUAUUAAAAACACAGCACUGUGCAAACACGAAAGUGGACGUAUACGGUGUGACGCCUGCCCGGUGCCGGAAGGUUAAUUGAUGGGGUCAGCGCAAGCGAAGCUCCUGAUCGAAGCCCCGGUAAACGGCGGCCGUAACUAUAACGGUCCUAAGGUAGCGAAAUUCCUUGUCGGGUAAGUUCCGACCUGCACGAAUGGCGUAAUGAUGGCCAGGCUGUCUCCACCCGAGACUCAGUGAAAUUGAACUCGCUGUGAAGAUGCAGUGUACCCGCGGCAAGACGGAAAGACCCCGUGAACCUUUACUAUAGCUUGACACUGAACAUUGAGCCUUGAUGUGUAGGAUAGGUGGGAGGCUUUGAAGUGUGGACGCCAGUCUGCAUGGAGCCGACCUUGAAAUACCACCCUUUAAUGUUUGAUGUUCUAACGUGGACCCGUUACCCGGGUUGCGGACAGUGUCUGGUGGGUAGUUUGACUGGGGCGGUCUCCUCCUAAAGAGUAACGGAGGAGCACGAAGGUUGGCUAAUCCUGGUCGGACAUCAGGAGGUUAGUGCAAUGGCAUAAGCCAGCUUGACUGCGAGCGUGACGGCGCGAGCAGGUGCGAAAGCAGGUCAUAGUGAUCCGGUGGUUCUGAAUGGAAGGGCCAUCGCUCAACGGAUAAAAGGUACUCCGGGGAUAACAGGCUGAUACCGCCCAAGAGUUCAUAUCGACGGCGGUGUUUGGCACCUCGAUGUCGGCUCAUCACAUCCUGGGGCUGAAGUAGGUCCCAAGGGUAUGGCUGUUCGCCAUUUAAAGUGGUACGCGAGCUGGGUUUAGAACGUCGUGAGACAGUUCGGUCCCUAUCUGCCGUGGGCGCUGGAGAACUGAGGGGGGCUGCUCCUAGUACGAGAGGACCGGAGUGGACGCAUCACUGGUGUUCGGGUUGUCAUGCCAAUGGCACUGCCCGGUAGCUAAAUGCGGAAGAGAUAAGUGCUGAAAGCAUCUAAGCACGAAACUUGCCCCGA
rnacentral:rRNA from 1 species